AGGUAAGUGCUUGUGGAGAUGAGAGAACUGCAACAUUGCCUGUUGUCCUGCAGGCAGUAGUCCCGCAGCAAGCCAGCAUGCUUUCCUGGGGACAUGAUACCUGAGCUGGGCGUUUAAGGAUGCACUGGAGUUGUCCAGGUGGUGAAUAAGAGAAUGCACUCCAGGCAGAAGGAAGAGCAGGUGCAAAGGCUUAGAGACACGAAAGAGGGUGUUGUAUUUAAGGAAUGCCGGAAAGCAAUGAAGAUUCUAGAGGCACCUGCAUUCCUUGGCUUGUGGCCUCUUCCUCCAUCUCAAAGUGCAUCGCUCCAAUUUCUGCUUCUGUCAUCACAUCGCCUUUUCCUCCAGCUCCGACUCCUCCUGCAUCCAUCUGAAAAGGAUAAUCCAGGAUAUUCUCCCUAUCUCAAGAUCCUUCAUCACAUCUGCAAAGUCUCAGGUAUGGGUGGGGCUGAGGAUAUAAUCAGUUCUGGGCAAAAUUCCUCUGGAUGUGCAGAUUUGUGAAACUAGAAAACAAGCUUUCUGCUCCCAAAAUACAGUGGUGGGACAGCAUAAGACAACAGUUAUAGACAUUUCCAUUCAAAUAGGGAGAAAAUGGAAGGAAAAAAGGAGUCACCAGUCCCAAGCAAUUUCAAAAUCCAAUCAGACAAACUCCAUCAGGUUUCAAGGCCUGGGAAAAAUCCUCUGCCCUCUGUAUGCAAAACAGCAACAACAGCAGCAACUUUGGACCUUACCUCACACCAUCUAUAAAAAUGAACUCAA
rnacentral:lncRNA from 1 species